AAUCAACGCUGGCGGCGUGCCUCAGACAUGCAAGUCGAACGAUUAAAGCUCUCUUCGGAGAGUGCAUAGAGUGGCGCACGGGUGAGUAACACGUAAGUAAUCUACCUUCGAGUGGGGAAUAACGUCCGGAAACGGACGCUAAUACCGCAUAAUGCAGCGGCAUCGCAAGAUGACAGUUGUUAAAGGAGCAAUUCGCUUGAAGAGGAGCUUGCGGCAGAUUAGCUAGUUGGUAAGGUAAUGGCUUACCAAGGCUACGAUCUGUAACCGGUCUAAGAGGACGGUCGGUCACACUGACACUGAAUAACGGGUCAGACUCCUACGGGAGGCAGCAGUCGGGAAUUUUGGGCAAUGGGCGAAANCCUGACCCA
rnacentral:rRNA from 1 species